AUCACGAGUUCCACACAUUUUGGAUACCGGGGUUAAGAGUCCCACUGGUUUGGGACUCUUCGAUCAAAGUUUCAUAUCGAUGGACUUUGAUAUCCGAUUGUCCAUCGGAUUUGGACUCAGUAUUUAUGAGAGGUUUAAUUAGUGAUUUGAUCACUAAUUAACUCAAUUUGAUUGAGUAAUUAUUUUUGAAUCAAGUCCAAUUGAAUUGGAUUCAAUUGGAUUUGAUCCGAUUAGGUUAAGUGUUGACCUAAUCGUCGAAGUGGUUUGGUCUCUGAUUUGAUCAGAGGUUGGGCUUACUCAAUUCCUGAUUUGAUUAGGAUUUUAUUGAGCCUAAUUAAAUCUAAUUAAGUUGGGUUUAAUUUAAUCUAAUUGUGCUUAACUUAUUCUAAUUAGGUUGGCUCAAUUAGAUUCAAACCACCUUGACUUUUCUCCCUGCGCCACCUCACUUCUUCAGCGCCCAUUUGAAUUCACGAGAAGCAACUUCUCGUGAAUUUUCUCCCACGCAGAAGGCAUCUCACGCCCACUCGUGUGCCAAUUUUUGGAUAAACUUGAUUUGUUAGCCAUUCAAAUUCAAACGGUGUUUGAAUUUGAAUGGAUAACUUAUCCCUUGCGCCUUCUUGCUUAUCCAUCUUGUGCGCCACUUAUCAUACACGAGAAAGAGUUUCUCGUGAAAUCUUUCCACGCACAAAGAAGCCACGCCCCUUCUCUUCUCACGCCCAGAGUGGAUAGGGAUGAGUUGGUUUGCAUUUGAAUUCAAAUUCGAUUUGAAUUCAAGUGU
rnacentral:lncRNA from 1 species